rnacentral:rRNA from 1 species
GACGAACGCUGGCGGCGUGCUUAACACAUGCAAGUCGAACGGAAAGGCCCUGCUUUUGUGGGGUGCUCGAGUGGCGAACGGGUGAGUAACACGUGAGUAACCUGCCCUUGACUUUGGGAUAACUUCAGGAAACUGGGGCUGAUACCGGAUAGGAGCUCCUGCUGCAUGGUGGGGGUUGGAAAGUUUCGGCGGUUGGGGAUGGACUCGCGGCUUAUCAGCUUGUUGGUGGGGUAGUGGCUUACCAAGGCUUUGACGGGUAGCCGGCCUGAGAGGGUGACCGGCCACAUUGGGACUGAGAUACGGCCCAGACUCCUACGGGAGGCAGCAGUGGGGAAUAUUGCACAAUGGGCGGAAGCCUGAUGCAGCAACGCCGCGUGCGGGAUGACGGCCUUCGGGUUGUAAACCGCUUUCGCCUGUGACGAAGCGUGAGUGACGGUAAUGGGUAAAGAAGCUCCGGCUAACUACGUG